rnacentral:rRNA from 1 species
UCUGGUGGCCAUACCGAGGAGGUCACACCCGGUCCCAUUUCGAACCCGGAAGUUAAGCUCCUCAGGGCCGAUGGUACUCAAGGUUUUAACCUUAGGGAGAGUAGGACGCUGCCAGAU